rnacentral:rRNA from 1 species
CUGGUUGAUCCUGCCAGAGGCUACUGCUAUCGGGGUCCGACUAAGCCAUGCGAGUUGAGAGGGGUAAGCCCUCGGCAUAUUGCUCAGUAACACGCGGAUAACCUGCCCUUGGGUCCGGGAUAACCCCGGGAAACUGGGACUAAUACCGGAUAGAUCAAGGAUACUGGAAUGUUCUCUGGUCCAAAACUCCGGUGCCCAAGGAUGGGUCUGCGGCCUAUCAGGUUGUAGUGGGUGUAACGUACCUACUAGCCUACGACGGGUAAGGGUUGUGAGAGCAAGAGCCCUGAGAUGGAUUCUGAGACAUGAAUCCAGGCCCUACGGGGUGCAGCAGGCGCGAAAACUUUACACUGCGGGAAACCGCGAUAAGGGGACCCCGAGUGCCAGUACCUAGUGCUGGCUGUCCCGCUGUCCAAACAACAGUGGUUAGCAAGGGCCGGGCAAGACCGGUGCCAGCCGCCGCGGUAACGCCGGCGGCCCGAGUGGUAGCCGUUAUUAUUGGGUUUAAAGGGUCCGUAGCCGGCUUAUUAAGUCUCUUGGGAAAUCUGGCGGCUUAAUCGUCAGGCGUCCAAGAGAUACUGAUAGGCUUGGGACCGGGAGAGGUGGGAGGUACUCCAGGGGUAGGGGUGAAAUCUCGUAAUCCUUGGGGGACCACCGAUGGCGAAGGCAUCCCACCAGAACGGGUCCGACGGUGAGGGACGAAAGCUGGGGGCACGAACCGGAUUAGAUACCCGGGUAGUCCCAGCUGUAAACGAUGCUCGCUAGGUGUCAGGUGCGGUGCGACCGCAUCUGGUGCCGUAGGGAAGCCGUGAAGCGAGCCACCUGGGAAGUACGGCCGCAAGGCUGAAACUUAAAGGAAUUGGCGGGGGAGCACUACAACGGGUGGAGCCUGCGGUUCAAUUGGAUUCAACGCCGGG